AACCGCCGUAUACGGAACCGUACGUACGGUGGUGUGAGAGGACGGCGGGAGCGAUCCCGCCUCCUACUCGAU
rfam:Serratia sp. DD3 SRDD_contig000020, whole genome shotgun sequence.